CUUGACAUUGUAAAAGACGGGAAUUAGUAGUGGUAGCCGCCUAUCCCGAAAGAUUCAUUGAGGAGAAGCUCUCAAUUAUUCUUCCCGUGUUUAACAAUGUCAAG
rnacentral:pre_miRNA from 1 species